rnacentral:rRNA from 1 species
GAUGAACGCUGGCGGCGUGCCUAAUACAUGCAAGUCGAGCGAACAGACGAGGAGCUUGCUCCUCUGACGUUAGCGGCGGACGGGUGAGUAACACGUGGAUAACCUACCUAUAAGACUGGGAUAACUUCGGGAAACCGGAGCUAAUACCGGAUAAUAUAUUGAACCGCAUGGUUCAAUAGUGAAAGACGGUUUUGCUGUCACUUAUAGAUGGAUCCGCGCCGCAUUAGCUAGUUGGUAAGGUAACGGCUUACCAAGGCAACGAUGCGUAGCCGACCUGAGAGGGUGAUCGGCCACACUGGAGCUGAGACACGGUCCAGACUACUACGGGAGGCAGCAGUAGGGAAUCGUCCGCAAUGGGCGAAAGCCUGACGGAGCAACGCGGCGUGAGUGAUGAAGGUCUUCGGAUCGUAAAACUCUGUUAUUAGGGAAGAACAAAUGUGUAAGUAACUAUGCACGUCUUGACGGUACCUAAUCAGAAAGCCACGGCUAACUACGUG